GAUGAACGCUAGCUACAGGCUUAACACAUGCAAGUCGAGGGGCAGCGCAGUGUAGCAAUACAUGGGCGGCGACCGGCGCACGGGUGCGUAACGCGUAUCCAACCUUCCCGUUACUCAGGGAUAGCCUUCCGAAAGGGAGAUUAAUACCUGAUGGUGUUUGAAUUCCGCAUGUUAUUCAAACUAAAGAUUUAUCGGUAACGGAUGGGGAUGCGUGACAUUAGAUAGAUGGCGGGGUAACGGCCCACCAUGUCCACGAUGUCUAGGGGUUCUGAGAGGAAGGUCCCCCACACUGGAACUGAGACACGGUCCAGACUCCUACGGGAGGCAGCAGUGAGGAAUAUUGGUCAAUGGCCGGAAGGCUGAACCAGCCAAGUAGCGUGAAGGAUGAAGGUUCUAUGGAUUGUAAAACCUUCUUUUAUACGGGGAAUAAAAACAAUCCCACGUGUGGGGUCUUGUAUGUACCGUAUGAAUAAGCAUCGGCUAACUCCGUGCCAGCA
rnacentral:rRNA from 1 species